GUGCUUACUUCAAGCACAUAUAUUAAAAUUGAAACUCUAAAGAGAAGAUUAGCAUGGCCCCUUGGGCAGGGAUGACAUGCAAAUUCAUGAAGCCUUCCAUAUUUUU
rnacentral:snRNA from 1 species